rnacentral:rRNA from 1 species
UGCCUACGGGAGGCAGCAGUGGGGAAUAUUGCACAAUGGGGGAAACCCUGAUGCAGCAACGCCGCGUGAGUGAAGAAGUAUUUCGGUAUGUAAAGCUCUAUCAGCGGGGAAGAGAAUGACGGUACCUGACUAAGAAGCCCCGGCUAACUACGUGCCAGCAGCCGCGGUAAUACGUAGGGGGCAAGCGUUAUCCGGAAUUACUGGGUGUAAAGGGAGCGUAGACGGUAAUGCAAGUCUGGAGUGAAAGGCGGGGGCCCAACCCCCGGACUGCUCUGGAAACUGUGUAACUGGAGUGCAGGAGAGGG